GUUUUUUUAACAUAUGUGUGUAAGUAAGAGUGAAAAGUUACUUUUGCAUGGAAGUGAGUUGAAAUCUUCGUGCAUGUAUGUCAGAAUUUAUCAAUCUUCCUUCCUACAUGCAAGUAAGGAUUACAUGUGAUUUUCUUCAUGCAUGGGGGUAAGAUUUUUGCAUGUGUGACAUGGAUGGGUGUGAGCAUUAUGCGUGCAUUUAUCAGACCAAAACCAAAAAAAGUGCCCCAGCUCCUUUGGUGACUCUAGAUAACCUUGGGCCAAUCGCAUGCCCCCCAUGGAGGCAAUAACCCAUUUGAACGUCUGCCCUAUCAACUUUUGAUGGUACUUGCUGUGCCUACCAUAGUGACCACUGGUGAUGGGGAAUCAGGGUUCAAUUCUGGAGAGGGAGCCUGAGAAACGGCUACCACAUCCAAGGAAGGCAGCAGGCGCGCAAAUUACCCACUCCCAACCCGGGGAGGUAGUGACGAAAAAUAACAAUACAGGACUCUUUCGAGGCCCUGUAAUUGGAAUGAGUACACUUUAAAUCCUUUAAUGAGGAUCCAUUGGAGGGCAAGUCUGGUGCCAGCAGCUGCGGUAAUUCCAGCUCCAAUAGC
rnacentral:ncRNA from 1 species